AACGAACGCUGGCGGCAUGCCUAACACAUGCAAGUCGAACGAGACCUUCGGGUCUAGUGGCGCACGGGUGCGUAACGCGUGGGAACCUGCCCUUAGGUUCGGAAUAACUCCCCGAAAGGGGUGCUAAUACCGGAUAAUGUCUUCGGACCAAAGAUUUAUCGCCUUUGGAUGGGCCCGCGUUGGAUUAGCUAGUUGGUAGGGUAAAAGCCUACCAAGGCGACGAUCCAUAGCUGGUCUGAGAGGAUGAUCAGCCACACUGGGACUGAGACACGGCCCAGACUCCUACGGGAGGAAGCAGUGGGGAGUAGUGGACAAUGGGCGAAAGGCUGAUCCAGCAAUGCCGCGUGAGUGACGAAGGCCUUAGGGUGGUAAAGCUCUUUGACCCGGGAUGAUAAGGACAGGACCGGGAGAAUAAGCUCCGGCUAGCUCCGUG
rnacentral:rRNA from 1 species